rnacentral:rRNA from 1 species
GCAUAUCAAUAAGCGGAGGAAAAAGAAAACUAACAAGGAUUCCCCCUAGUAACUGCGAGUGAAGCGGGAAAAGCUCAAAUUUAAAAUCUGGCAGUCUUCGAUUGUCCGAGUUGUAAUCUGGAGAAGUGUUUUCCGCGCUGGACCGUGUACAAGUCUCCUGGAACGGAGCGUCAUAGAGGGUGAGAAUCCCGUCUUUGACACGGACUACCAGUGCUCUGUGAUGCGCUCUCAAAGAGUCGAGUUGUUUGGGAAUGCAGCUCAAAAUGGGUGGUAAAUUCCAUCUAAAGCUAAAUAUUGGCGAGAGACCGAUAGCGAACAAGUACCGUGAGGGAAAGAUGAAAAGCACUUUGGAAAGAGAGUUAAACAGUACGUGAAAUUGCUGAAAGGGAAACGAUUGAAGUCAGUCGCGUUGGCUAGAACUCAGCCUUACCUCGGUAUGGUGUAUUUUCUAGUGAACGGGCCAGCAUCACUUUUGGCUGCCGGAUAAAGGCCAGGGAAAUGUGGCACCUUCGGGUGUGUUAUAGUCUCUGGUUGCAUACGGUGGCUGGGAGUGAGGAUCGCAGCACGCCUUUAUGGCGGGGGUUCGCCCACCAACGUGCUUAGGAUGCUGGCGUAAUGGCUUUAAACGACCCGUCUUGAAACACGGACCAAGGAGUCUAACAUGCCUGCGAGUGUUUGGGUGGGAAAACCCGAGCGCGUAAUGAAAGUGAUAGUUGGGGACCUCUGUCGUGGAGGGCACCGACGCCCGGACCAGACCUUCUGUGACGGAUCCGCGGUAGAAGCAUGUAUGUUGGGACCCGAAAGAUGGUGAACUAUGCCUGAAUAGGGUGGAAGCCAGAGGAAACUCUGGUGGAGGCUCGUAGCGAUUCUGACGUGCAAAUCGAUCGUCAAAUUUGGGUAUAGGGGCGAAAGACU